UUUAUGGAGAGUUUGAUCCUGGCUCAGGAUGAACGCUGGCGGCGUGCCUAAUACAUGCAAGUCGAGCGAACGGACGAGAAGCUUGCUUCUCUGAUGUUAGCGGCGGACGGGUGAGUAACACGUGGAUAACCUACCUAUAAGACUGGGAUAACUUCGGGAAACCGGAGCUAAUACCGGAUAAUAUUUUAAACCGCAUGGUUCAAAAGUGAAAGACGGUCUUGCUGUCACUUAUAGAUGGAUCCGCGCUGCAUUAGCUAGUUGGUAAGGUAACGGCUUACCAAGGCAACGAUGCAUAGCCGACCUGAGAGGGUGAUCGGCCACACUGGAACUGAGACACGGUCCAGACUCCUACGGGAGGCAGCAGUAGGGAAUCUUCCGCAAUGGGCGAAAGCCUGACGGAGCAACGCCGCGUGAGUGAUGAAGGUCUUCGGAUCGU
rnacentral:rRNA from 1 species